CUGAACAGCAUCGUGCAUUACUUGGUGGAAUAACAUCAACUCUGACCCUAAUUUUGGCUGCUUAUCUGGUUCCCAGAAGGCUUCAGUGCUCAGAGACAAAAUCAUCUGAGGCUGGUGCUGUCUUGGGGGAAGCAAAUGCUGCAAAGAGAGGAGUUGUUUCUCACUCUGGAACUAAAACAUUUCCGAAAUCAAACUGCUGCCUAGCUUAUCAGGGUGUAAACACGUUCUCCUGUGGGAACAGGAAUUGCAGGCCAGUCUGAGCUGAAUCUUGCUGCCUCUCUUCAUAUCAGUCUGCUGGAAUUUCUCAGACACUGGAGGAUUUCCAGCCAGGAGCCAGCCUGUCUGUGAGAGAAGCAUCUGAAUGGAUGAGAAGGUGCCAGCACUGUUGUAGGUGGCUCUUUGAAGUCUGCUCAUUCUCUUCAGCCAGGACACCCCAAAAUACAGCCUGGAAGAGGAGGACAGGGAGCUGGAAUUACAGGAGUUGUAAUUCCAGCUGGAUUCUGCAGGAACAGGAGCUGCAGCCUGGCAGACACAAAUCUGUCGUGGUGGACAGCUCUGAACUGCAGCUCUCAAAGUGGCAAAUAAUGGUUGGGUUUGGUCAUUUUGGUGUGUGAAAGUUGUUUCUGCUCACUGGGGUAAGAGGCAGCAACAGGACUAAAAGAUAUUUCUUAUAGUUCUGCAGCCUCAGGUGAAGAAUGAGGAAAGGGGAGUAUGGGUGGGCUGUCUACAAAAUAAAUACAAUAUAAAUA